GUUGUCGUCAGCUCGUGUCGUGAGAUGUUGGGUUAAGUCCCGCAACGAGCGCAACCCUUGAUCUUAGUUGCCAGCAUUCAGUUGGGCACUCUAAGGUGACUGCCGGUGACAAACCGGAGGAAGGUGGGGAUGACGUCAAAUCAUCAUGCCCCUUAUGACCUGGGCUACACACGUGCUACAAUGGACAGAACAAAGGGCAGCGAAACCGCGAGGUUAAGCCAAUCCCACAAAUCUGUUCUCAGUUCGGAUCGCAGUCUGCAACUCGACUGCGUGAAGCUGGAAUCGCUAGUAAUCGCGGAUCAGCAUGCCGCGGUGAAUACGUUCCCGGGCCUUGUACACACCGCCCGUCACACCACGAGAGUUUGUAACACCCGAAGUCGGUGAGGU
rnacentral:rRNA from 1 species